UUUAACCUGCCAUGUGGCACAGGUAGCAUUUUCUGUUGGUGACUGAAGCGAUGGGAGUUUUUUGGGCCUUGUUUAUUUGUGUGCUGACUGUCUGGCUUACCAAAGGCUCUUGUUUGCCUGUUGGUGGCUCAACUGAAAGCGGCGCUAAUGGGCUACCGAGGAGAAUGAGAGAUCUGCCUCCCAAUGACCUCUCCAUAAAGAAGGCCCUUACACUUCACUAUUCACAUGAGGCCA